GAUGAUGUUGGGGUCGUCCAGCCGAGACAUGAUCUUGAUCUCCUUCAAGAAGUCGUUCCUGAGGGUUGAAGGGACAAAGACGCUCGCUUGAGAGCUGUUGACAGAUGAUCUUCACAGCCAGAGAGGAGCAGCUCGGUUUCAAGUGACAGGGACAUGGACUUCCAACAAGCUCACUCCUGAUUGGCGAGGGUGGUCACCAUAGAAACGAUGACUCAUACAGACUUGGACCAAUCACUGCUUACUGACAUCACCUAGAUUCAACAAGGUGGUGUCUAUUUGUUGGAGUGUAACAUAUCACAAAACUCAAGGUUUUAGGGUCACGGUUCGGAUCAUCUAUCGGAUCAGUAAAAAGUUAAAAAAAAAAAAAAAAAA